UGGGGUCCUCCCUCCUUACACACACCUCCCAGGCUGGCAAUUCCACCGGGAGCCAGGAGAAGCAGCGACUUCAAGGACGCUCCUCAGCGUGGAACGAGAGGCAAUGUCACCCUUGGAGAGGAGUGGAGCUCUCAGCCUGCUGGCCAGCACGCCGUAUCCGUCCCUCCAGGAAAGACCCGGGUUUCCACGGGCCGAGUGUGUAUGUGCACGCGUGUCACCUGCGUGUCUGGUCAUCGCCUUCUGGGCGGUGUCCUGCUCCAGUUUCCUGUCGUUCUUUUGGCCGGAUCAGCAGCGGAGAGAAAUCAGGAGGGCAGCUCUCUUAUGCAGAUCCUCUCAGAGGUCUAUAUUGCUGGGUUUGUGUGCGCGUUUGCGCGUGCACA